CCUACGAGCGACUGCAGUGAGGAAUAUUGGUCAAUGGGCGCAAGCCUGAACCAGCCAAGUCGCGUGAGGGAUGACGGUCCUAUGGAUUGUACACCUCUUUUGUCGGGGAGCAAGGCCCGCCACGUGUGGCGGGAAGGAGAGUACCCGAAGUAAAAGCAUCGGCUAACUACGUGCCAGCCGCCGCGGACAUACGGGGGUUGCGAGCGUUAUCCGGAUUUAUUGGGUUUAAAGGGUUCGUAGGCGGAAGGUUAAGUCAGCGGUCAAAUGUCGGUGCUCAACACCGGCCUGCCGUGGAAACUGGUCUUCUUGAGUGAGCGAGAGGUAUGCGGAAUGCGUGGUGUAGCGGUGAAAGGCAUAGAUAGCACGCAGAACUCUGAUUGCGAAGGCAGCAGACCGGCGCUCAACUGACGCUGAGGCACGAAAGCGUGGGGAUCGAACAGGAUUAGAUACCCGAGUAGUC
rnacentral:rRNA from 1 species